UUUGGCUUAUUCGACUUGAAACUGAGGAUGGUCAUUUAAUCAGAUUCAGUUUUUUGUAUGUGUCCAUACUACUUCGAUAGCGUAGUAAUUUUAGAGCUAUACGUGCACCCAAGUACACGACUCUUUAGUACGGGAUGCAUUUUUUAGAUAAUAAGGACAGACGCGAGCUUGCUUCGCUUUUCCUGUGAAUCAUGAUAACUUGAUGGAUCGCACAGCCCUUGUGCUGGCGAUGGUUCAUUCAAAUUUUUGCCCUAUCAACCUUUGAUGGUAGGAUAGAGUGCCUACCAUGGUGGUGACGGGUGACGGAGAAUUAGGGUUCGAUUCCGGAGGGGGAGCCUGAGAAACGGCUACCACAUCCAAGGAAGGCAGCAGGCGGGCAAAUUACCCAAUCCUGACCAGGGGAGGUAGUGACAAUAAAUAACAAUACUGGGCUCAUUGAGUCUGGUAAAUUGAAUGAGUACAAAUUAAAUCCCUUAACGAGGAUCCAUUGGAGGGCAAGUUUGGUGCCAGCAGCCGCGGUAAUUCCAGCUCCAAUAGGGUAUAUUUAAGUUGUUGCAGUUAAAAAGCUUGUAGUUGGAUCUUGGGUCGUAAGGGUCGGUCCGCCUCCUCGGGGUGCACCUUCCCUUCCGUCCCUUUUUGUUGGGGGAGUGCUCCUGGCCUUAAUUGGGGGGGUCGCGGACCCGGCGUUGUUACUUUGAAAAAUUUAGAGUUCUAAAAGCAACCUUUGGUUCUGAAUACAUUAGCAUGGAAUAACAUGAUAGGAGUCUGGUCCUUUUGUGUUGGCCUUCGGGACCGGAGUAUUGAUAAAUAGGGACUGUCGGGGGCAUUUGUAUUUCAUUGUCAGAGGUGAAAAUUUUGGAUUUAUGAAAGACGGACCACUGCGAAAGCAUUUGCCAAGGAUGUUUUCAUUAAUCAAGAAAGAAAGUUGGGGGCUUGAAGACGAUCAGAUACCGUCCUAGUUUCUACCAUAAAAGAUCCGACCAGGGAUCGACGGAUGUUCUUUAUAGGACUCGCUCGGCACCUUACGAGAAAUCAAAG
rnacentral:rRNA from 1 species